rnacentral:rRNA from 1 species
UGGGGAAUAUUGCACAAUGGAGGGAACUCUGAUGCAGCGACGCCGCGUGAGUGAUGAAGGACUUCGUUUCGUAAAACUCUGUUCUAUGGGAAGAAAAGGACUGUACCAUAGGAGAAAGCUCCGGCUAAAUACGUGCCAGCAGCCGCGGUAAUACGUAUGGAGCGAGCGUUGUCCGGAAUUAUUGGGCGUAAAGGGUGCGCAGGCGGCUUUACAAGUUGGAUGUGAAAUAUUGUGGCUCAACCACAAACGUGCAUCCAAAACUGCAAAGCUUGAGAUAAGGAGAGGUAAGUGGAAUUCCUGGUGUAGCGGUGGAAUGCGUAGAUAUCAGGAGGAAUACCGGUGGCGAAGGCGACUUACUGGACUUAAACUGACGCUCAGGCACGAAAGCGUGGGGAGCAAACAGG